rnacentral:rRNA from 1 species
AGUUUGAUCCUGGCUCAGAGUGAACGCUGGUAGUAUACUUUACACAUGCUAGUCGAAUGUUUUUACAUGGCGUAUAGGUGAGUAAUAGAUAAGAACUUACUCAUAAGUCUUGACAAUAAUCGUAUUUAUUAUAAUAAUGCUUUAGCAGCGAUAAUACGGGAUACUAAAGAAAGGUUUAAAACUGCUUAUGAAUAGGCUUAUGAAAGAUUAGGUUGUUGGUGAGAUAAUAGCUCACCAAGCCGAUGAUCUUUAGCCAAUUUGAGAGGAUGAUUGGCCACACUGGGACUGAGAUAAGGCCCAGGCUUUUUGCCAGCAGUGAGGAAUAUUGGACAAUGAGCGAAAGCUUGAUCCAGUGAUGCUACAUGAAUGAUGAUAGGCACAAAAGGGUUUAAUUUUUAAAUCCGGCUGUAAAAUUUAUUUACUGAUGAUGAUAAUGACGUUAAUCAGAUAAAAAGUCCCGGCUAACUUCGUGCCAGCAGCCGCGGUAAUACGAAGGGGGCGAGCGUUAUUCGGAAUUAUUGGGCGUAAAGUGUUCGUAGGUUGUAAUUGAUGUUAUAGGUAAAAGUUUAUGUUGAUUGCAUAAGUAUACUUAUAAUACACUUUUUACUAGAGAUAAAUAGGGGAUAACAGAACUUUAUAAUUAGGUGUAAAAUCCAACGAUUUAUAAAAGAAUGUCAUAGGCGAAAGCGGUUAUCUUGAUUUAAUCUGACAUUGAGGNACGAAAGCGUAGGGAGCAAACAGGAUUAGAUACCCUGGUAGUCUACGCUGUCAAAGAUGAAUGCUACUAUUUGGAUAUUUUUUCUGAUAGACAGCUAACGCGUUAAGCAUUCCGCCUGGGAAGUACAGUUGCAAGGCUGAAACCCAAAGGAACUGGCGGGGAUCUACAUAAGUGGUGGAGCAUGUGGUUUAAUGCGAUAAUACGCGCGGAACCUUACCAGUUUUUGAAUAUUUUUAAUGGAGAGUUUUUAUUAUUUUCUCUUGUUCAAAAAAGUUUUUUGAUACUUGAUUUUACAGGUGUUGCAUGGCUGUCGUCAGCUCGUGCCGUGAGGUGUUUGGUUAAUUCCUUUAACGAGCGUAACUUUCAUUUUAUAUUGGUAAUAUUUUUUAGUUUCAUUAAAUAUCCACUUUUAUUAGACUGCCGAUUAAAUAUUGGUUGAAGGUGAAAAUGACGUCAAGUCCUUAUGGCCCUUAUAAACUGGGCUACACACGUGCUACAAUGAUAUUUACAGAAAGUUUUGCGAUAUUUAAAGUUUGGAGCUAAUCUUUAAAAGAUAUUAUUUCGGAUUGUGAGCUGUAACUCGCUCAUAUGAAGUUGGAAUCACUAGUAAUCGUAGAUCAGAACGCUACGGUGAACUAUCGUCUAGAUCUUGCACACACCGCCCGUCACAUGCUAGGAUUANUUUUUAUCUGGAGAUAUUCUUUUAAUUUUUAUUAUUUUUUAAUAUUAAAUAGUUUUUUAUUAAUUUUUUAU